rnacentral:rRNA from 1 species
GACGAACGCUGGCGGCGUGCUUAACACAUGCAAGUCGAACGGAAAGGCCCUGCUUUUGUGGGGUGCUCGAGUGGCGAACGGGUGAGUAACACGUGAGUAACCUGCCCUUGACUUUGGGAUAACUUCAGGAAACUGGGGCUAAUACCGGAUAGGAGCUCCUGCUGCAUGGUGGGGGUUGGAAAGUUUCGGCGGUUGGGGAUGGACUCGCGGCUUAUCAGCUUGUUGGUGGGGUAGUGGCUUACCAAGGCUUUGACGGGUAGCCGGCCUGAGAGGGUGACCGGCCACAUUGGGACUGAGAUACGGCCCAGACUCCUACGGGAGGCAGCAGUGGGGAAUAUUGCACAAUGGGCGGAAGCCUGAUGCAGCAACGCCGCGUGCGGGAUGACGGCCUUCGGGUUGUAAACCGCUUUCGCCUGUGACGAAGCGUGAGUGACGGUAAUGGGUAAAGAAGCACCGGCUAACUACGUGCCGGCAGCCGCGGUGAUACGUAGGGUGCGAGCGUUGUCCGGAUUUAUUGGGCGUAAAGGGCUCGUAGGUGGUUGAUCGCGUCGGAAGUGUAAUCUUGGGGCUUAACCCUGAGCGUGCUUUCGAUACGGGUUGACUUGAGGAAGGUAGGGGAGAAUGGAAUUCCUGGUGGAGCGGUGGAAUGCGCAGAUAUCAGGAGGAACACCAGUGGCGAAGGCGGUUCUCUGGGCCUUUCCUGACGCUGAGGAGCGAAAGCGUGGGGAGCGAACAGGCUUAGAUACCCUGGUAGUCCACGCUGUAAACGGUGGGUACUAGGUGUGGGGUCCAUUCCACGGGUUCCGUGCCGUAGCUAACGCUUUGAGUACCCCGCCUGGGGAGUACGGCCGCAAGGCUAAAACUCAAAGGAAUUGACGGGGCCCCGCACAAGCGGCGGAGCAUGCGGAUUAAUUCGAUGCAACGCGUAGAACCUUACCUGGGUUUGACAUGGAUCGGGAGUGCUCAGAGAUGGGUGUGCCUCUUUUGGGGUCGGUUCACAGGUGGUGCAUGGCUGUCGUCAGCUCGUGUCGUGAGAUGUUGGGUUAAGUCCCGCAACGAGCGCAACCCUUGUUCACUGUUGCCAGCACGUUAUGGUGGGGACUCAGUGGAGACCGCCGGGGUCAACUCGGAGGAAGGUGGGGAUGACGUCAAGUCAUCAUGCCCCUUAUGUCCAGGGCUUCACGCAUGCUACAAUGGCUGGUACAGAGAGUGGCGAGCCUGUGAGGGUGAGCGAAUCUCGGAAAGCCGGUUUCAGUUCGGAUUGGGGUCGGCAACUCGACCUCAUGAAGUCGGAGUCGCUAGUAAUCGCAGAUCAGCAACGCUGCGGUGAAUACGUUCCCGGGGC